UCCAAGGAAGCAGAUAAGAUAUGAUGAUUGUGUAUCCAUAAUGACCCUUUACAAGGAACAGUAUUCUGCGAAGGAAAUUGCAAGACAAGUAGCAUUAACAAUCAACAGAUAUAGAAAAAAACUGGUAGCUAGGAAAUCAACUGAAAGAAAAGACAGACUGAUUGUUCGAAAGUCAAAGGUUAAUAGUUUCCUAACCAGCACUCGACUUUCUACUGAUUUCAACUUCACAUCAGAUGUCACCAUAUCAAAUGAAACAGUAGAGACGUCUUUGAGAAGCUGGUAUGACGGGGAGAGUUGCAGCUCGAAAACCUUUGUUGAGCAAACCGUCAAAACCGCAUAGAAUGGCCACUAAAACCAUAAAGACUGGUCAAAAGAACGAUGGAGAAGAGUGCUAUGGACAGAUGCAUCAAUGUUUGAACUUUUCAGCUCCAAGAGGAAACAGAAUGUGAGAAGAAAAACAGUCGGAUUUGUGACGGACUACUGUACCUGUGUAUCGACACAUUCCCUCCAAGAUGUUGCAGCUCCAACAACGCCAACAGAGGAUGCUGAUAUCCCAGGAUCCUGAGUCGUGGUGCUGGAGAGGGGGUACCGAGCUUGAAGGGAGCUAAAUACAAGCCUCACACCGGGACAAACCAAUGGAUUAGGAAGUUCUUGGAUCGGUGUGGCAAUUUUCCCGUGCCCCUGUGUGCAUUUCUGUGUUGUAUGUUGCGUGUGGUGUGUUAAUGUUGGUGUAUAGGCAUUGGUACACGGGAUAUAAACAGGUCUGUGUUUCACAUGUGUUUAAAAAUGUAUAAUUGUAUUUAGGCACGGGAUUGCACUUCACAUGCAUUUAAAGUAUUUAAUAUGUGAGCACGAGGUUGCACAUAAUUAAUUCACGAGCUGGGAUUCAAGUGAAUAAUUAAUUAGUAAUUGAAUCCUGGCACAACAGUAUAUAUAGAUGCAAGUUUUACUCACUCUGGGUUGUGUGUUCGGUGAGUGGAGAGCGGGAGAGAGAGAAGGAGAAAUAAAAAGAUAACAAUUGCUAUUGCGUACUGGUAGGACCAGCACGAUACUUGUUUGUUUAUUUAAACUCACCGUGUUUGUGUGUCUGUCCGUCCACCGUUUGUUAAUGUUAGUCCGUUUUGUUUAUGUAUUUAUUUUGGCGUAAAGUGCUGUGUCCUGUCUUCUGUUUGUUUAAACCUUUUAUUUAUAAUAAACCGCGCAACAGUUUAUUAACAGGGCAGCAGUGUGGAGUAGUGGUUAGGGCUUUGGACUCUUGACCGGAGGGUCGUGGGUUCAAUCCCUGGUAGGGGACACUGCUGCUGUACCCUUGAGCAAGGUACUUUACCUAGAUUGCUCCAGUUAAAACCCAACUGUAUAAAUGGGUAAUUGUAUGUAAAAUAAUGUGAUAUCUUGUAAAAAUUGUAAGUCGCCCUGGAUAAGGGCGUCUGCUAAGAAAUAAAUAAUAAUAAUAAUAAUAACAGCGCUUUCAUUCAUUAUUUUCACUCGCAGUGCUGUGUGUUCAUUUCUGGUCUGAGGUCAUCACUAAAGCCAGCCUGUCACAAUCGGUCACCUUCAAACUUACCUUUCCUUGUUGGCGUUUCUACUGGGACAGUGUUAGGUGACUUGGAAUAAGUACAGGACCUACAAACUGACUUUUUUCAAGGCCUUUUGAGGCCCAGGUGAAUAUACUGUAACUAUCGUUUCACCAAACUGUGACUUAUACUGUUCAGGACUGUGUUGUGGUAAUAUAUUGUAUGGAGUUUAAUAAUUGUAAUACUAAUAUCCCUCUGAAGUCACCAGUAGCAUGUUAAUAAUGUUUUAUGGAAGGUUUUAGUGGUUUUACUUAGUGCACAGUUUUAGGUGUUUUUAGAAUAGGUUUUGUAUGAAAAUAAUGUGCAAGGUGGUUGA